UACGGAGGAUGCGAGCGUUAUCCGGAUUUAUUGGGUUUAAAGGGUGCGCAGGCGGAAGAUCAAGUCAGCGGUAAAAUUGAGAGGCUCAACCUCUUCGAGCCGUUGAAACUGGUUUUCUUGAGUGAGCGAGAAGUAUGCGGAAUGCGUGGUGUAGCGGUGAAAUGCGUAGAUAUUAGGAGGAACACCAGUGGCGAAGGCGGCUUACUGGACUGUAACUGACGUUGAGGCUCGAAAGCGUGGGGAGCAAACAGG
rnacentral:rRNA from 1 species